CUUCUCAGUCGUUGGGUUUUGGAGAACUUAUUCGGAAUUUCAUAUUUGUUUCUUAGGGAUUUUCGUUUCCAAGGUGUCUAUAACAAAAGAUUUUUUCACGUAAGCCAACACGCUGAAACGCGGCUUGUGUUCAGUGCAGGUUGCACAGGAGCUUUUACGUUUUCACAAGCCAACAUUUAUCGGCUUGGACCUUCGGUGCGGGUUGUGCCAGAUUGAAAGGAGUCAUUGUACUCUCGCAAGCCAACAUUUGUCGGCUUGAAUGUAUUUGUGCGGGUUGCGCUUCAAAGAGUCUCAGGGUGUCUCAAAGUGUCUCACGAGUGUCUCACGAGUGUCUCAAAAUGUCUCACGAGUGUCUCAAAGUAUCACAAACUGAAAGAAACUAUUGUUUGCCUUGAACUGUCGAGAGUGUUAUCUAUUUUAAUAAACUGAGUUUCUAGUUAGUUGGAUUGUUGUUGUUGCUCGCUCAAGCACACAAGUAAAUAUGGGGAUCUCCAUUGACCAAUUCCGUUCAAGGAUUGGAUCUCAUGAAGAUUUACAUCCUGAUUUAAGUGAAAACUAUGACCUCUCUGAUGAUCUCAACAUUCCAUCAACAUCGCUGAAUAAUGAACCACUGAUAUUGAAUGAAUUACCUGAUUUCGAUUUUCGUCAAAUGGUCCAGACACCCGACAAAGAGCGAAAAGAAUUUUUUAUCACAUUUUACAUCAGAUUAAAACCUCAGAAACCCCUUUCUACUGCUUCCUCAGUGGAGGGGCUGGUGUUGGCAAAUCGCAUUUAACAAAAGAUUUGUAUCAGGCAGUGCUUAAGUAUUAUAACACUAGAGCUGGUGAUGAUUUUCAUCAGAUCAAAGUUAUACUAUUAGCUCCAACUGGUAAAGCUUAAGGGUAACACUCUUCAUAGCACUCUGGCCAUUCCUGCCAAUCAAUCACUGAGAAAUUACAAACAGCUUGAUUCAAGUAGACUAAACACUUUGAGAAGUCAAUUGAUUUUUGUUGAUGAAAUCUCAAUGGUAGGAAAUGGUAUGUUUGCAAUACAGCUAAACAAUAGGCUUAAAGAUAUAAAAGGCUGUAGAGAGGAUUUUGGAGGUGUGAGCAUAGUUGCUAUUGGUGACUUAUUCCAAUUAGAAUCUGUUAUGGAUGCUUAUAUUUUCAAAGACCUCAAAAAUGUAGAUUUAUGCUGUUCUUUCUCCCAGUUUAUGGCAUAAACACUUUAAAAUGUUUGAACUUAAUGAAAUCAUGGGUCAAAGAGACA